UGGUGGAUUUUGCUGAAAAAUGGAUUGAUGAUCAGUUUGGCGGGAAAAACUAAGUGGGAACUUAGUCCCUGCCCAGUGUACCAAAUUGAUCUUUGUGUCACCAUGGGAGGGAUUCUCACCUAAUUCUUCUACGUCAAGCAUAAUGGCAAGCGUAAUGGAACAUGACAAAUAAGUAGAUUUUCAGGUAGUCCACCUUAUAACCUUAAGUUUUGAGAUUACUCUCUACUGAUAUAACUUCUACUUUUAAAGUUUUAUCAUUGUUUUUUUGCUUGGAAAUAUUUUUGUUUGUAUCAUUCAUUUACUAAUUUUCUUCAAAUAUUAAUUGAAUUAGUUUGUUUGAAUUCAUUUACUAAUUUUAUAAUUUAUUGUCUUCUCUAAAAAUAUGAAGAUAACUAGGUCUAUCUAAUUAUUUAUUGAUAAGCCAUUGAGCAUAAUAACUGAAUUAGUUUGUUUGAAUUCAAUUGCUAAUUUUCUUCAAAUAUAGUGUAACUUUUGAGAUAUUUGAUAUUUUAGAUUUAAGUAGCUAAAUUAUAUUAAGAAUAUUAGCCAAUAUAUUUGAAACUUAAUUUGGAUUUAUGUUAAUGUGAAUGUAAUCUCAUAUUAUAUUUCUAUUAUCUUUAUUUAUAUUAUUGUAGUAUUAUUAAUGUGUAUAUUAUAAGUGAACAAAAUGACAAAAGGAGCACAUUUAAAAAAACUAUAUUUUAUAUUAUUCUCUUACAAUUUUGAUGCUUUUUCUCUUCAUUAUCUUUACAUGAAAAUAAUAUUAUAAUAUUUUUUUUUCUUAAUGCUAACAAGUAUAUGUAAUAUACUUUUAUAUUUGUCUAUGUUAACACUGCCGACAACAACCACAAACCAUAGAGCGUGGUUUCUACUACAUGAAGUAUGCUAGGGAUCUCAUUUCACAACAAAAAACCAGAGCAUAUCUAUCGAAUAAUUUCAAUUAAGAUUUAUCGUAUACUGAUGCUGAACUUAAUGAAGUUCAAGAAGAGUGGGCAAAAUAUAUUUUACUGCAUCUCAAUAAAUAAUGGCAUGCAUGCUCAGUACCUAUAUGAGAGGAUUUAGACAUAUUUGGAACUUUAUAUUUCUUUUAUUAGAAAUUGUUAUAACUAAUCAAAUAUAAAAUCAAUCUAAAAAACUAUUGGUUGAGUUAGUUUAGCUUUUUGAUGUUCAUACUUUCCUAAAUAUCCAUUUUAUGACAAACUAGUUUUUUGUGAA